GAGUCUAAAACCAGAGACAGUCACAAUUUACUCAGGUUAUCUAGCCUUAAUGAAUUUUUUCACUGAGGUCUAAUUGACAUAUAACAUUACAUUAGUUUCAGGUGUACAGCAUGUUUUGCUAUUUAUACAGAUUGUCAGCUUAACGAUUAACAGCAUUCUCUUUUGCUCUUAAGUGUCCUAAUUUGGUGAUAAGUUAUAUGAUCACCUGAUUUAAAGAGCACUUUACUUGCCAUUGAUUUGCACAGCUUGUUUUCAUACUAUUUCAAGAUGGCCCUGUGUCUAAAAGGCUGCUUCUGAAUGUCUCCGGUCCAGUGGUAGGGCCUAGCUCGGGCAGGGAAAAUGGAGGCAGGAGCACAGAUGACCUCAUAUAGCCCUGAAGCCAUACCUGGCUCUCCUUUAGGAGCUCCCUGCCCAUUUUCAUAGGAAAUUCUUGAAGAACUCUCCCCAACUAAGAAGUCUGCGGGGCACGUAGCUGGUGCCAGAGAACCUAGCCUGGCAGUGAGCUAUUUUGGAACACAGCCUCCUGACCUCCUGGGCUUCCCCAGGCAGCCAGAAACUAUCUGAGGGUUUCUGGGCUUGUCCUGGCAGCAGCCUGCAGAAAGAAGAUCUCGAUAGAAAGGAAAUAAAAACAGAAGCAAGGAGACCAGCUAAGGAGGCUGUUGUGGUAACUCAGAAGAAGGAUGAUGAUGGCCUGAAUUAAAGUAGAUGGAAAGAGGUAGAUGGACUUAAGAGACAUUUACUUAGGAGGAAGAAUCAAUUGUCAGGAACUGGCGAUCGAUAGAACAUAAA
rnacentral:lncRNA from 1 species